CCUACGGGUGGCAGCAGUGAGGAAUAUUGGUCAAUGGACGCAAGUCUGAACCAGCCAUGCCGCGUGCAGGAAGACGGCUCUAUGAGUUGUAAACUGCUUUUGUACGAGGGUAAACGCAGAUACGUGUAUCUGUCUGAAAGUAUCGUACGAAUAAGGAUCGGCUAACUCCGUGCCAGCAGCCGCGGUAAUACGGAGGAUUCAAGCGUUAUCCGGAUUUAUUGGGUUUAAAGGGUGCGUAGGUGGUCGGAUAAGUUAGUGGUGAAAUUCCGAGGCUCAACUGCGGAAUUGCCUCUGAUACUGGUCGGCUAGAGAGUAGUUGCGGUAGGCGGAAUGCAUGGUGUAGCGGUGAAAUGCUUAGAGAUCAUGCAGAACACCGAUUGCGAAGGCAGCUUACCAAGCUACGUCUGACGUUGAGGCACGAAAGCGUGGGUAGCAAACAGGAUUAGAUACCCGAGUAGUC
rnacentral:rRNA from 1 species